AUUGAACGCUGGCGGCAGGCUUAACACAUGCAAGUCGAGCGGGGGACGUUGCUUCGGUAAUUGACCUAGCGGCGGACGGGUGAGUAAUACUUAGGAAUCUGCCUAUUAAUGGGGGACAACAUCUCGCAAGGGAUGCUAAUACCGCAUACGCCCGACGAGGGCAAGCAGGGGAUCACUUGUGACCUUGCGUUAAUAGAUGAGCCUUAGUCGGAUUAGCUAGUUGGUGGGGUAAAGGCCUACCAAGGCGACGCUCUGUAGCGGGUCUGAGAGGAUGAUCCGCCACACUGGGACUGAGACACGGCCCAGACUCCUACGGGAGGCAGCAGUGGGGAAUAUUGGACAAUGGGGGGAACCCUGAUCCAGCCAUGCCGCGUGUGUGAAGAAGGCCUUAUGGUUGUAAAGCACUUUAAGCGAGGAGGAGGCUCUUUUGGUUAAUACCCAAGAUGAGUGGACGUUACUCGCAGAAUAAGCACCGGCUAACUCUGUGCCAGCAGCCGCGGUAAUAC
rnacentral:rRNA from 1 species